AUCACCUGGGGAUCUUGUUAAAAUGCAGAUUAUGAUUCAGUGGCCUGGAAUAGGCCCCAGAUUCUGAAUUUCUAACAACCUCCCAGGUGUUACCCA
rnacentral:pre_miRNA from 1 species